UACAGAGGGUGCGAGCGUUGUCCGGAAUCACUGGGCGUAAAGGGCGCGUAGGCGGCUCAUGAAGGCUGUGGUGAAAGUCCGGGGCUCAACCUCGGAUCGGCCGUGGCGACUCGUGGGCUGGAGCACUGUAGAGGCGGGUGGAAUUCCCGGUGUAGCAGUGAAAUGCGUAGAGAUCGGGAGGAACAUCCGUGGCGAAGGCGACUACCUGGACCAGCACUGACACUGAGGCACGAAAGCGUGGGGAGCAAACAGG
rnacentral:rRNA from 1 species